CGCCUAUCGAUUUUAGCUUGUGAUAACGCUACUGGUGGCCUACGUGACCGGCAGUACUCAUCAGUCAUCGUUCUGGAAGGAUCGUCGCCAACGGCAGGGACCCUCUUCUCAACUUUGAGGAUUUAUUGUACAUUGUACGAAGAGGGUUUUACUGUCUGCUUGGACCGUACGGCGAGUUGUUGACUGGUGACGCUCGCAUCUUCAGUCUGCUGUGAAAUACUCGUUAUCUACCGCCCUGACGACUACCUUCUGUGCUGUCUGUUGUCGCCUGGCUGCAUAACUUGUCGCGGAAUGCGGACUGCUUCCGGCUACCCGAGAUUGUAGUGUCUGCUACCGAUAAGUGACAUUUGCGUUUAUUCUUUUGGAAAUAUUUGGUUAAAUUGCUGGCCAGCUUGAAUUCAGGAAAGGACCUAACUGCGGUAUUUACGUUGAUUACCUAUUUCAUAGACUGGAUGCUCGACUCAUCUUGGUCUCUUCAAGACGACUUGUUUAUAUUAUAUUGUAUAUGUGUAGUAUUAAAUGUUUAUUUGUCAUAAUGGUUAUAUGUUAAUCUGUUCUUUCACAGCACGGUGGCCACCUGCAGCUCAAUAUUUUCUAAUGAUGUGUAAAACUGUUUAAUGCAUACUGCAUAUUUAAUUUGAUAUUGUAGAUUAAUAGCUUUACUUUGGUUGCACUAACUUGCAUAUUUUGCUGUCAAAUAUUUACACAAGGUUGCCUUAAUAAUUGUGAUUGCUUACCAGAGGGUUGUUUAAUCUCUUAAGAGUUAAACUUAUACCAUUUGCUACUUGAUAUAAAAUCAAACUAUUUCAAUACCAAAUAGUAAUAAAUUUAUUAAUCUCCAUAAACA